UCACUACUCAGAUUACUUCCCCUUAUGAUUGGUCAUUUAGUUCCUGAAAAUGAUAAGACAUGGGGUAUCAUUUUGGAUUUGAAAUUGAUUGUUGAACUUAUUUCCUUAUCUGUAUUCACUACCCCAACCAUAUGCUUUUUGGAAUCCAAGAUAUCUGAUCACAGGAAUCUGUUGUUAGAGGUGUUCCCUAACUUCACAUUGAAACCAAAACACCAUUACCUCGAACAUUAUCCAAAUCUCAUUCAUUGUUUUGGUCCUUUAUUGAACUUCUGUACAAUCCGUUUUGAGGGUAAACACAGCUUUUUUUUAAAAGUUGUGCGUGAUGUGAACAAUUUCAAAAACAUUUUAUUGACAUUAGCCAAGAGACACCAACUUAUGUUUGGCUACUACCUUGAGCUGCCCAGCCUUUUCAAGCCAAACCUUGAGGUUCACAGUUCUUCUACUCUCUGUACUGAUAUUUUGGACAACAGUAUAAAGCAGGCACUUAAGAGGAAGUACACAAAUGUUAUGUCUGUUUGUCUGACAACAACAAUUACUCGACAUGGGACCACAUAUUCUGAAGGAAUGUUUGUCUCAUUUGGCAGCACAAGUGGACUACCUGAUUUUGGAAAGAUUGUCAAACUACUCAUUGUGGCUGAUAAGGCAAUGUUUAUCAUUGAACCUUUUCAAUCUGUGUAUAUUGAGCAUUUAGGCUCUUUUGAACUGUUUAGAGCACUUUCUGCAGGUUUUCUUCUGGUUGAACCUGAAGAUUUGAACCACUACGAACCAUUAUAUUGCUACACCAUUCAAGGAAGACAGCUGGUCACAGCAAAAGCCUUUUUGCUUCAUUAAGAAUGUUGCUCAGAGUUGUUUUGGCACCAGAUGACAUCAGGAGGCUGUUGAUAGAAGAAAUCCCAGAGACUCUGGAGGGCUUCAAGUUGAUUCUGAGGACUAAGCUAAAUCUGGGUUAUGAGUUUGUAAUACAGUAUGAAGAUCCGGACUUCCAGAAUGAGUUGAUAAACCUCAACUGUCCCACAGAAUUGCCCAAGGAUAAAGCAACCCUCAAAAUAAUCCAGAAGAUGCCACCUGACCAACACUUGGUGACAGUUAGUGACAGCAGUACCCUUGACACUGCCAGCCUGUCAUCUGCUUCAUCAUCUACAGAAACCAGCCCACCUGAUAUGAUGAAGAACUGGUCUGAGCCCUUUAGCAUUCCAACUUUCUCUUAUGAUGUGGAACUGAAGCUGAAGAGAGGAAAUGAAGCAUAUGCCAAAGAUGGUUCCCGGAUAGAGGUCCUCAAGGGCCUCAAGAGUGAAAUCUUGGACAGACUUGUUGGAGAGAUGUUCAGAAUCGAUGCAUAUCCAUCACAUGUACAAAUUGAAGAAGUUGCCAAAGCAUUGGUAGAAAAGCAUCCCUGUUUAAGAGAGGUAGGGUCCACAGAUGGCUGGUACUGCUGGAAGUACAGUUUGAAUUUUAAAAUGGGCAAUUAUCGGCACAAGUUACGUGCUGCCGGGUGUACAGCAGUGUUGGUGAACAAGACUCGAAUGUUUGAAGAUGGGAAAACUAAGCGGAAGAUCAAGAAGCCAAGGCGAUCUGAAACCAACUUCCUUCCAGAUAUACCUGAUGAAGACACCUUUACUUCCCUUGAAGAGGACAGGAAGACACUUCUGAUGGAAUUUAAAAAGGUGAAUCCCAACAACAAGAUAAUUGAUGCAGCCAUGGCAAACACUUAUGCUUUGAGAAGAAAGGAGAUCGUUGAUGAUGAGCCUCUUGCGAGUGUGGUCAAAUCCAGAUGGCCUGCACUGUUCUCGGAGAGACAGAUCCUUGCGGAAUUCAGCCGUCUGAUGUCUACUGAUCUCCUGAGCUCCUUCUUUGGUGGACUUGAUGAAUAUCUGCCCAGGUUUCUUGACCUUUUCAGAAAAGAGGAUCACAUUGCAGAGCUCCAAGACAUUGUUAGAUGGCUGGACGCUCAUGUAAGUAUUGCACAUGUAUCUUUCAUUUUGUGAUGUGAAAAUAGCCUUUUCUCUUUUUAACACUGUCUGUGUGUUUGCAUGUGUCGGUGUUUGCUUUUGCAUUUCAGGAUUCCAAUCAGAAUAAGUGAACAGCAGUCUUACUUGGCAUGCCGCAUUUCCUUCGUGAAGAGCCCUCAAGCUUUCUUAAGACCUGUGAGCCAACUGAUCCAGUUGAAGAUACCUUGAAAGGAACCAGUGUCGGGAUCCUGAUUGUGUCUGAAGAGAUCGGCAGAUAUGUGGUCCCAAUCGAGACCAAUGACAUUUGUCUCGUCUUGGAGGAACAGCUGGCUGUCAUGAAUAUUUCUGAUAUUCCCAAGGCAUUCGGACUAAUGAUGGGUCUGAUGUAUGCGCUCAAUGUUGACUACCCAAAGCAUCUCAAAUAUACGUUUGAAGUAAUGCAAAAGCUUUUCUUGAAUGUCGGAGGGUGUAGCUGCUCUUCACGUGUUAAUGGUCUCCGUAACAGGCUGCUUUACAAAAAGUUGUAGUGCAGAAAUCUCCCCUAGCAUUUGGACUUGGUCUUCAGAUAUUUUUUUUGCUUUCAUAUUUGGACUUUGAAAGUGGAAACUGUUUGCCCCUUUAAAUGGCUCUUGGCAACUUGUUUUUCUGUUUUAUGCAAUGUAGCACAUGGGUUUGGUCCCGAAAGUGAAGGUUUUCUUUAUUCACUUUUGUAUUGUUUUGUGCUCUUUGCUCCCAUGUGUGGACUUUGAGAAUUUUUUUUUACAGUGUACCACCUGAAAGCAGGUUGGAGGGGUGGGGGGGAUGCGUGCGCGUGUUAA